GUAGCACAGAGAGCUUGCUCUCGGGUGACGAGCGGCGGACGGGUGAGUAAUGUCUGGGAAACUGCCUGAUGGAGGGGGAUAACUACUGGAAACGGUAGCUAAUACCGCAUAACGUCGCAAGACCAAAGUGGGGGACCUUCGGGCCUCAUGCCAUCAGAUGUGCCCAGAUGGGAUUAGCUAGUAGGUGGGGUAACGGCUCACCUAGGCGACGAUCCCUAGCUGGUCUGAGAGGAUGACCAGCCACACUGGAACUGAGACACGGUCCAGACUCCUACGGGAGGCAGCAGUGGGGAAUAUUGCACAAUGGGCGCAAGCCUGAUGCAGCCAUGCCGCGUGUGUGAAGAAGGCCUUCGGGUUGUAAAGCACUUUCAGCGGGGAGGAAGGCGGUGAGGUUAAUAACCUCGUCGAUUGACGUUACCCGCAGAAGAAGCACCGGCUAACUCCGUGCCAGCAGCCGCGGUAAUACGGAGGGUGCAAGCGUUAAUCGGAAUUACUGGGCGUAAAGCGCACGCAGGCGGUCUGUCAAGUCGGAUGUGAAAUCCCCGGGCUCAACCUGGGAACUGCAUUCGAAACUGGCAGGCUAGAGUCUUGUAGAGGGGGGUAGAAUUCCAGGUGUAGCGGUGAAAUGCGUAGAGAUCUGGAGGAAUACCGGUGGCGAAGGCGGCCCCCUGGACAAAGACUGACGCUCAGGUGCGAAAGCGUGGGGAGCAAACAGGAUUAGAUACCCUGGUAGUCCACGCCGUAAACGAUGUCGAUUUGGAGGUUGUGCCCUUGAGGCGUGGCUUCCGGAGCUAACGCGUUAAAUCGACCGCCUGGGGAGUACGGCCGCAAGGUUAAAACUCAAAUGAAUUGACGGGGGCCCGCACAAGCGGUGGAGCAUGUGGUUUAAUUCGAUGCAACGCGAAGAACCUUACCUGGUCUUGACAUCCACAGAACUUUCCAGAGAUGGAUUGGUGCCUUCGGGAACUGUGAGACAGGUGCUGCAU
rnacentral:rRNA from 1 species